GACGAAGGGGGCUAGCGUUGUUCGGAAUUAUUGGGCGUAAAGAGCGUGUAGGCGGCUUGGUAGGUCCGCUGUGAAAACUCGAGGCUCAACCUCGAGAUGUCGGCGGAAACCACUUGGCUAGAGUCCGGAAGAGGAGAGUGGAAUUCCCGGUGUAGCGGUGAAAUGCGCAGAUAUCGGGAAGAACACCUAUGGCGAAGGCAGCUCUCUGGGACGGUACUGACGCUGAGACGCGAAAGCGUGGGGAGCGAACAGG
rnacentral:rRNA from 1 species